rnacentral:rRNA from 1 species
GGGGAAUAUUGGACAAUGGGCGAAAGCCUGAUCCAGCCAUGCCGCGUGAGUGAUGAAGGCCCUAGGGUUGUAAAGCUCUUUCAGUGGGGAAGAUAAUGACGGUACCCACAGAAGAAGCCCCGGCUAACUUCGUGCCAGCAGCCGCGGUAAUACGAAGGGGGCUAGCGUUGUUCGGAAUUACUGGGCGUAAAGCGCACGUAGGCGGAUCGGUCAGUUAGGGGUGAAAUCCCGGGGCUCAACCCCGGAACUGCCUUUAAUACUGCUGAUCUAGAGUUCGAGAGAGGUGAGUGGAAUUCCGAGUGUAGAGGUGAAAUUCGUAGAUAUUCGGAGGAACACCAGUGGCGAAGGCGGCUCACUGGCUCGAGACUGACGCUGAGGUGCGAAAGCGUGGGGAGCAAAC